UAGCUAGUUGGUGAGGUAAAGGCUUACCAAGGCGACGAUCUGUAGCGGGUCUGAGAGGAUGAUCCGCCACACUGGAACUGAGACACGGUCCAGACUCCUACGGGAGGCAGCAGUGGGGAAUUUUGGACAAUGGGGGCAACCCUGAUCCAGCCAUGCCGCGUGAGUGAAGAAGGCCUUCGGGUUGUAAAGCUCUUUCGGCCGGGAAGAAAUCGCAUGGGCCAAUACCCUGUGUGGAUGACGGUAUCGGAAUAAGAAGCACCGGCUAACUACGUGCCAGCAGCCGCGGUAAUACGUAGGGUGCGAGCGUUAAUCGGAAUUACUGGGCGUAAAGCGUGCGCAGGCGGUUUUGUAAGACAGGCGUGAAAUCCCCGGGCUUAACCUGGGAACUGCGUUUGUGACUGCAAGGCUAGAGUACGGCAGAGGGGGGUGGAAUUCCACGUGUAGCAGUGAAAUGCGUAGAGAUGUGGAGGAACACCAAUGGCGAAGGCAGCCCCCUGGGUCGAUACUGACGCUCAUGCACGAAAGCGUGGGUAGCAAACAGGAUUAGAUACCCUGGUAGUCCACGCCCUAAACUAUGUCAACUAGGUGUUGGGUGGGUAAAACCAUUUAGUACCGUAGCUAACGCGUGAAGUUGACCGCCUGGGGAGUACGGCCGCAAGGUUAAAACUCAAAGGAAUUGACGGGGACCCGCACAAGCGGUGGAUGAUGUGGAUUAAUUCGAUGCAACGCGAAAAACCUUACCUACCCUUGACAUGCCAGGAACUUGCCAGAGAUGGCUUGGUGCCCGAAAGGGAGCCUGGACACAGGUGCUGCAUGGCUGUCGUCAGCUCGUGUCGUGAGAUGUUGGGUUAAGUCCCGCAACGAGCGCAACCCUUGUCGUUAAUUGCCAUCAUUUAGUUGGGCACUUUAACGAGACUGCCGGUGACAAACCGGAGGAAGGUGGGGAUGACGUCAAGUCCUCAUGGCCCUUAUGGGUAGGGCUUCACACGUCAUACAAUGGUCGGUACAAAGGGUUGCCAAGCCGCGAGGCGGAGCCAAUCCCAGAAAGCCGAUCGUAGUCCGGAUUGCAGGCUGCAACUCGCCUGCAUGAAGUCGGAAUCGCUAGUAAUCGUGGAUCAGCAUGUCACGGUGAAUACGUCCCCGGGUCUUGUACACACCGCCCGUCACACCAUGGGAGCGGGUUCCGCCAGAAGUAGGUAGCCUAACCGCAAGGGGGGCGCUUACCACGGCGGGGUUCGUGACUGGGGUGAAGUCGUAACAAGGUAGCCGUAGGGGAACCUGCGGCUG
rnacentral:rRNA from 1 species